rnacentral:rRNA from 1 species
GACGAACGCUGGCGGCGUGCUUAACACAUGCAAGUCGAACGGUAAGGCCCUUCGGGGUACACGAGUGGCGAACGGGUGAGUAACACGUGGGUGAUCUGCCCUGCACUUCGGGAUAAGCCUGGGAAACUGGGUCUAAUACCGGAUAGGACCACUGCCUGCAUGGGUGGUGGUGGCAAGCUUUUGCGGUGUGGGAUGGGCCCGCGGCCUAUCAGCUUGUUGGUGGGGUGAUGGCCUACCAAGGCGACGACGGGUAGCCGGCCUGAGAGGGUGACCGGCCACACUGGGACUGAGAUACGGCCCAGACUCCUACGGGAGGCAGCAGUGGGGAAUAUUGCACAAUGGGCGCAAGCCUGAUACAGCGACGCCGCGUGAGGGAUGACGGCCUUCGGGUUGUAAACCUCUUUCAGCACCGACGAAGCGCAAGUGACGGUAGGUGCAGAAGAAGGACCGGCCAACUACGUGCCAGCCGCCGCCGUAA